rnacentral:lncRNA from 10 species
AUCUUGGCUCACUGCAACCUCCACCUCCCAGGCUUAAGCGAUUCUCCUGCCUCAGCCUCCUGAGAAGCUGGGACUAUAGGCGUGCACCACCAUGCCUGGCUAAUUUUUUUUUUUUCUAUUUUUUUAGUAGAGACAGGGUUUUGCCAUGUUGGCCAGACUGGUCUAGAACUCCUGACCUCAAGUGAUCCGCCCACCUUGGCCUCCCAAAGUGCUGGGAUUACAGGCGUGAGCUCUGUUUAUUUUUUGUAGAGAUGGGGGUCUCAUUAUGCUACUCAGGCUGAUCUUGAACUUCUGAUCUCAAGGGAUCCUCCUGACUCAGCCUCCCAAAGUGCUGAGAUUACAGGCAUGAGCCACUCUACCCGGCUUCCACGAUGAUUUAUUACAAAAUCAUGGCACUUAAACAAACAGAGGGAAGUUACCUACUCUAAAAUGCACCAGAAUUUCAGCUUGAUGAUCAUUACACAUGUACAUUACCUGUGUGAUCGCCACCCAGACCUAGAUAAGCAACACUUCCAGCCUUUGGGAGGCUGUGUGAGGCCUGCUCCCAGUUGAUCUCCUGACCCGGAGAUGACCACCAUGCCGGCCUCUGUCACCGAAGAUCCGUUCGGCUUGUUUUUGACCCUCAUAAGAAUGGAAGGUCUCUCUCUGGUUGCAGUAUGAAGAUCUGACUGGAAGAACACACGCACAGAUGCAGGGAAACCAGUUAAGAGAUCGGAGCAGCUGUCCAGGUGAGUGAAACUGGCAUCCUGAAUUAGAUUCAUGGUGGUGAAGAUAAGGAGAUGUGAACAAACUAGAUAUUUGGGAGGUAGGAAAAAUAGAACUUAGUGAUUGUGACCAGGCGCAGUGGCUCACACCUGUAAUCCCAGCACUUUGGGAGGCCGAGGCAGGCAGAUCACUUGAGGUCAGGAGUUCGAGACCAGUCUCGCCAACAUGAUGAAACCCGCUACUCUA